rnacentral:rRNA from 1 species
CCCCUAGAUGUUCUGGGCCGCACGCGCGCUACACUGAACAGUUCAACAAGUCUUAACCUUGGCCGAUAGGUCUGGGUAAUCUUUGAACGCUGUUCGUGAUUGGGAUAGACCUUUGCAAUUAUGGGUCUUCAACGAGGAAUUCCUAGUAAACGCAAGUCAUCAGCUUGCAUUGAUUACGUCCCUGCCCUUUGUACACACCGCCCGUCGCACCUACCGAUUGAAUGGUCCGGUGAAUCUCGGGACGGCGGCUUGGUCGCUUGCGUCCGACUGCUGAAACUUGAUUAAACCAUAUCAUUUAGAGGAAGGUGAAGUCGUAACA